UGGCUGCAUCUUACUCCAAGGCCAGAUAAGCUGUGAGGGGCGAGGACAUCACUGACCGAAUUUUUCCCAUUUCCUAUCUCCGUGCCCUGUUUCCCCAGCACUCCAAGUUGGAAACGCCUCCAUCUUGCCUCUCCCCACCAUGGACCUCCUCUUGCUCCUGUGCUGUGUGGCCUUUUGUCUCUUGGGAACGGGCUCCGUGGAUGCUGGCAUUACCCAGACCCCAAGGAAUGGGAUUAUAGAGACAGGAAAGAGCAUUGUACUGGAGUGUUCUCAGACUAUGGAUCAUGCCUAUAUGUACUGGUAUCGACAAGACCCAGAACUGGGGUUACAGCUGGUCUACUUAUCCUACGGUACCGACGAUAUUAACGAAGGAGAGGUCUCCAAUGGGUACAGUGCCUCUCGAAAGGAGCGAGAGAAAUUCUCCCUGUUCCUAGAGACUGCCAUUCCCAAACAGACAGCUCUUUACUUCUGUGCCACCAGAGACUUUCACAGUGCUUCUCGGCCACCUGCUUUCUAUACAGAAAGACAGGCACAUUUGCUCAGAGGGGCACAGAAGGCUUCCCCCGUGUGAGAUGUGGGGAUCUUUAGAGGUCUCAGUAGUUCUAUGCUCCGUGUGCCUCAAUCUGAGCUUGAGGCCACAUUAGAUCAAUGUCCCUAGGCCAUGGGGUGACUGAAACCACAGGCUGGACUGAACCUAUCUCCCUACCCACUGACACUCUUUAUGUAUUCUAGUGGGGCUAGCCCGAUAGUGGCAUUCUAGAAUG